rnacentral:rRNA from 1 species
UAAGACCUUCUGCGCCAAUGGUACUAUGUCCUAAGGCAUGGGAGAGUAGGUCGCCGCCCGGU